CUGCGUAGACCCUAUCACAUCAUUGCCAUAAUCGCCUUCGAGUAUCUGAAACCCUUCUCCAACUUAAAUCACACCUGUCCCUAUAAGCCUCGCACUUCGGUGAACAUACGCAAUUUCGAGCUGAAUGUGGAUGCUUUGCGCUCUCGUUUUCCCUUUGAGAAUGGCGAAUAUGCAGUUAGCGUAUCAUUUCUUAUAAAUAACAACUUGAAGCUAUCGGUUAACGGUUCGAUAUAUCAUUUUAAUUACAGGGAGCCCUAAUCCAACUGUAUGUAGUCCAAAUAUAAUUGAGAAUUUUGAAAAAAUUUA